UUGAAGGCUUCUGUCAUUAGCUUCGAGGAAAGUAAGUGAAAUAGGCUGGAGUUCAUUAACAUUACGCAAACAAGAGGACAUUUGUGGCCCCAAGUGUCUCGAAUACCUUUCUUGUCUCAGAAAACACAUCCUUGGUUCUUAUCCGCGCCCCCCAUCUCUCUGCUGUUUCUGAUGUGUUCUGUGAGUUGUGGCAAUGUGUUUGCAGUUCACAGGGCUAGCUUUGAGUAGCUUUGGGGUAUCAGUCUCAUGGAUAGUUAAGUGAGGAAGAGCUGUAAGGGAAGAAUGAGCCCAUUUUGCCCUGAGCUAAAGAGACUGCAGGUCUGAGUGACACUAGGAUCUUGGGUUUCAGUUUUUCAUCAGGGAAAACAAGAUAACUGAGCUAGGCAUUUUCUAAUACCUUUUUAGCGAUGCCAUUUUCCCACUUUUAAGCAGAAGGCCACACCCACAAGCCCCGUUUUCUGGCUCACAUGUGUUGCAUGAAUUCCAGUUAUGAAGAGGUGCGGCGGAAGAAGUGUCGCUAUGAUUUAUGAGUGUGUGGCAAUGUAGCCCUGGAAGCCGCAUAGAGGCUUUAUCAGACAUGCUAAGCCUUGGAACAAACUGUUCUGCUGAGCAAGGCAGGGACACAUCAAAGAUGCUGGCACUCCUUGGCUCUGGGGUCUGUGGGUCGCCUGUGCAGUCCUGUGAUGUGGGCAUUUACUUCCAUUUGCUAGGAGAGGCUGCCUGAAUUUCGGUCUCCAUUAGGUGGAUGGGUCACAGUAGAAGGGGAGGAAAACUAUGAGAAUGGAUCUUGGGGGAACCACAGGCACCAAGAGCUUUCUCAGGUGGUGUCAUUGGCAUAAAGACAGAACAUGAUUUUGACCUAAUUCAGAUCACCCAAUCAUGACCCCUGUGAUAUGUUUAUAAC
rnacentral:lncRNA from 1 species